CCUACGGGAGGCAGCAGUGGGGAAUAUUGGGCAAUGGGCGAAAGCCUGACCCAGCGACGCCGCGUGGGGGAAGAAGGCCUUCGGGUUGUAAACCCCUUUUGCAGGGGACGACACAGGACGGUACCCUGCGAAUAAGCCACGGCUAACUCUGUGCCAGCAGCCGCGGUAAGACAGAGGUGGCAAGCGUUGCUCGGAUUUACUGGUCUUAAAGGGCGCGUAGGCGGCUUUAUAAGUCCGAGGUGGAAUUCUACAGCUUAACGGUGGAACUGCCUUGGAAACUAUAGGGCUUGAGUCAGGUAGAGGAGGGCGGAAUUCCCGGUGUAGCGGUAAAAUGCGUAGAUAUCGGGAGGAAGGCCGGUGGCGAAGGCGGCCCUCGGGGCCUGUACUGACGCUGAGGCGCGAAAGCGUGGGGAGCAAACAGGAUUAGAUCCCCCUGGAGU
rnacentral:rRNA from 1 species